UACGGUGGGUGCAAGCGUUAUCCGGAUUUACUGGGUUUAAAGGGUGCGUAGGUGGACAGGAAAGUCAGUGGUGAAAUCUUCGAGCUUAACUCGGAAACUGCCAUUGAUACUAUUUGUCUUGAAUACUUUGGAGGUAAGCGGAAUAUGUCAUGUAUCUGUGAAAUGCUUAGAUAUGACAUAGAACACCAAUUGCGAAGUCAGCUUACUACACAGUUAUUGACACUGAGGCACGAAAGCGUGGUGAUCAAACAGA
rnacentral:rRNA from 1 species